CCCGGGGUCCCGAGGCUCCCAGCAAAGCCCGCCCUGGACCUCUGCCCUGCCGCCUUCACGGGGAAUAGUUUUACGAGGAGAGCUCCCUGGGGAAAUGCGGAACCAGGGAAACCGAAUUUAGCCUUUUGUUGCGAGGGAGCCUCCGAGCCCCGCUUCCUGCGGGCAGGGAGAGGAUUCUGGAGGGCGGUAGAAACUAAGUCUGGAGACCUGUCUCAUACUGCUGGCCAGACCCUAGGCAGGUCUUUCAGGGCCCAAGUUUCCUCAUCUGCAAAAUAAAGUGGUCAUCGAAAAUGACCUGUGGAGCCGCCCACUAGAUUUGAAAUUCUGUGUGCAAACUGCCCCCGGAGCAGCUGAAAGGAAAUCGAGGUGUUCACUUGCCCCCUUUGAAGUCCAGGGAUUGUCAAGAAAUUCCUUUAACGAAUUCUCCCUGAUUUUGCUUUAUCAAGUGCGGCUUCUUGUUAAUCUGGAAAAUGGGAAUACAUACCUCUCCUCUCAGCUUGCCGUGAUGGUUGGGAAAAUGUGUAUGUGAACACAAUAUUGAAAUGUACCUAGAGACACAACAUAGGUAGGUAGGUAGGUAGGUAGGUAGAUACUGCUAUCCGUACUAUUACUCGAUCAUUCUAUUUUUAGUGCCUGAAAUCUACCUGAUGGUGUCCAGAUUUUAUUGCUUCUUUCAGUUUAAAGAGCAAGAAUUUAUGCUUCCAGUGCCUUUGGAAGAGGAAGGGAAGAAGUUUGUUCUGGUUAUGUUUUGUACCGCAAAUGUGGAAAAGAAAUGUUGCCUGCAACCACACACACAUAACUUGGCUUCUUUGGUCAACAUCCCUUUCCUUUAAGAGUGUAUAACACUGUAGUGCUUUUACAUGACAGAUGCAGCAUUCAUCUCAAACAGGGUUUUUUGGGAUGUUUCAGACUGGUGACAUUUUGGAUUGGGUAAGGUGCCUUACAAAUUCCUUGUUAAAUUUCAGUGCUGCCCCUUGAAGCAUUACAUUGUGGUGGCUAAAGGCACGGCUGCAAGUCAGGUAAACCUAGGUUCAAAUCUGGGCUUUCCCUUCAUACCAGCUUUGUGUUGGCCAAAUCACUUAGCCACAUGAAGCCUGUUUCUUUGUCUAUAAUAAAAGAGGGAUAAUCAUUUUUACCUCAUAAAAGGAUUAAUUGUGAUAGCACAUGCAGAAGAGAUUGAGUAGUCCUUGGUGCAUCGUAAAUGUUUAGAAAACAGCAAUUAUAAUUAUCAUAGGCCAAGUUCUAUAAUCUGAGGUGAUUGGAUUCUUUCUUUCCCCAUAGCGACUUUUGAAUACAACUUUUCUGACUCAGUGUAAUGCUUUACCAUUCAUUAUAUCAAACUGGACUUAACCUUGGUAACACAGUGAGCUGUCUUCAUCUCUUUCUGUAAAGGUUUGAGUUUAAAUGGUCGAGGAAGGGGAGCAAAGGAGGAGAAAAGUGAUAUUUUUAUUUUAAAAGAUGUUAUUAAUCAUUUCCAGAUACCAAACUACCGAACCAUAAGCCAGAGCCUCUGCUGCACACACCACCAGCCCCUGAGGUGGGGAUGACAAACAUAACAGAGAACGGAAUGGUAAGGCGUGAGUGCGGUUCUGCAGGCUUAUGGUAUUUCUGCCAUUUGAGUGCCUGCUUCCCUUCCUAGAUGUCUUGACCUCAUUGAGCAGUUUAUUCAUUGUCAUAUCCCCCAGUAGUGUCCACGGUGAGUGUUCAAUAAAUGAUAUUUGUUAACCACACAGAAGUGACAGCAGCACCAUCAAGAGAACAUGUGCUUUGAGCUGCUUUUCCAAGAAUGGAAAUGGAUUUGCUUUGAUCCAUUCAUGUGACCAGGGGCACGCUUUGUAAGGGUUAGGAACAUAAUACAUGACCACUGACUCUUUCAGGAGUGAACAAGAGGCCUUGUCCUCCUUGGCCAGCCCCACAUUUACUUAAAAUGAUGAAAUUAGGGCGCAGAUGAGUCCAAGAACUGACCAGGGAGGCUUGAGCAUAGGCGAGAAGUAAAAGCAGAAGAAAACCCUUAACUGGUUCACCCGCAGAAACCCAGACUGUACUUUUAGAGAAGUUAAAAGUAAAACAGCCUGUUUCAUCCAGUUUGACUUUGCUGUGUCUGCUGCCCUUUCUUCUCCUUCCCCUUCUUCCCUAAAUUGCCACCCGCCCCCAUUCUUCACCCCCACCAUAAAAAGAGCAUUAGAAUGCUUGAACCCAUGAACUUUUCUGUUUCUUGGUACACACCAUAUCAGUGCUGACAAGGGGUUCCAUUGCAUGUGCUUUGAAGUCAUAUUUUUCUCUCUUAGAGUAGAAUUGCCAUGUCCAAGGGGUGGGUGGAGUGGGAGAGCAAUUACAGGGAAAGAUUUUGUUCCAAAUCUGCAGAAAUAGCCUGAGAUUAAAAGUAUUUCUUCAAUGUUGUUCUGCUGCCUGAAAUAAAAGCUUUGUAUUAGGAUUUUGCUCUACUCCCAAAUCUUAUCUCUAUUAGGAAACAACUUUUCUCUUUUUUUUUUUUUUUUUUUUUUUUUUUUUUGAGACGGAGUCUUACUCUGUUGCUCAGGCUGGAUGCAGUGGCGCAAUCUCGGCUCACUGCAACCUCCACUCACUGUAACCUCUGCCUCCCGGGUUCAAGCAAUUCUCCUGCCUCAGCCUCCCAAGGAGCUGGGAUUACAGGCGUGUGCCACCACACCCAGCUAAUUUUUUGGUAUUUUUAGUAGAGACGAGGUUUCACCAUAUUGGCCAGACUUGUCUUGAACUCCUGACCUUGUGAUCCGCCUGCCUCGGCCUCCCAAAGUGCUGCGAUUACAGGCGUGAGCCACUGUGCCCGGCCCUUUCUCUGUCUUUUAAAGGAUCCAUUCUCACUCUGCAAGUAUGAAGUCCUUUACCUGGGGAUCUGGAGUGCCUUCCCAGGGCCUGUGUGGUUGCCUUAUACACAUUAGACACAAAAUUUAGGGUAGGGCUCACAUUGACCAAACCUUUUCUGUUUAGGAAAUGGAGUUUUCCCUGUGUAUGAAUGAUUUCAAUAGGCAUUCAGUGAGACCUUUAAAUCAUGUUAAAGAGAUACAAUUGAGACUCAGGGUUGGGGAACACCCUGGAAACCCAACCCAGAAUUGUAAAAUAUUCUUUUAAAAAUUAUUAUUAUGUAAUAAACCAACAUCAGUUCUUUCCAAAAGAAUGGACCAUAGUAG
rnacentral:lncRNA from 1 species